UGAGUACGAGAUGCUACGGCAUCGAAGCAGUCUAUGUCAUACUUCCAAGAAAAGCUUGCAAUGUCAUAAACAAAUAAUGCCUGUACCAUAACCGACACAGGUGGGUAGGUAGAGUAUACUAAGGGGCGCGAGAUAACUCUCUCUAAGGAACUCGGCAAAAUGACUCCGUAACUUCGGGAGAAGGAGUGCCUUAUUUUUAUAAGGUUGCAAUAACAAGAUCCAAGCAACUGUUUACCAAAAACACAGGUCUCCGCUAAGUCGUAAGACGAUGUAUGGGGGCUGACGCCUGCCCAGUGCCAGAAGGUUAAAGAAGUUGGUUAGCAUUAGCGAAGCUGAUAACUGAAGCCCUGGUGAACGGCGGCCGUAACUAUAACGGUCCUAAGGUAGCGAAAUUCCUUGUCGGGUAAGUUCCGACCCGCACGAAAGGCGUAAUGAUUUGGAUACUGUCUCGGAGAGGGGCUCGGUGAAAUAGACUUGUCUGUGAAGAUGCGGACUACCUGCACCUGGACAGAAAGACCCUAUGAAGCUUUACUGUAACUUGAGAUUGAAAUUGGACUUUAUCUGCGCAGUAUAGGUGGGAGACGUUGAAAAUAUUCUUGCGGGAAUAUUGGAGUCAUCAGUGAGAUACCACUCUUAUAAUGUUAGAUUUCUAACUUUGUAUCAUUAUCUGGUCAAAGAACAGUUUCAGGCGGGCAGUUUGACUGGGGCGGUCGCCUCCCAAACGGUAACGGAGGCGCACAAAGGUUUCCUCUGAACGUGUAGAAAUCGUAUCUAGAGUGUAAAGGCAUAAGGAAGCUUGACUGUGAGACCUACAAGUCGAGCAGGGACGAAAGUCGGUCUUAGUGAUCUGACGGUGCUGAGUGGAAAGGCCGUCACUCAACGGAUAAAAGUUACUCUAAGGAUAACAGGCUGAUCUCCCCCAAGAGUUCACAUCGACGGGGAGGUUUGGCACCUCGAUGUCGGCUUAUCGCAUCCUGGGGCGGUAGUACGUCCCAAGGGUUGGGCUGUUCGCCCAUGAAAGCGGUACGCGAGCUGGGUUCAGAACGUCGUGAGACAGUUCGGUCCAUAUCCGGUGUAGGCGUUAGAAUAUUGAGAGGAGCCUUCUUUAGUACGAGAGGACCGAGAAGGACAUACCUCUGGUGUACCAGUUAUCGUGCCAACGGUAAACGCUGGGUAGCCAUGUAUGGAGAGGAUAACCGCUGAAAGCAUCUAAGUGGGAAGCCCACCUCAAGAUAAGUAUUCGC
rnacentral:rRNA from 1 species